GUGCAGAGCCCAGGCGCGUGGGUCGGUGUCGGGUGUGUGUGUACGUCUGUGUGUGUAAUGAAACUGGACGCCUUCCUUCCCGGCGAUCUUGACUUAACCUGUCAGCAGAGGGCUUGAGGUUAGACCACAGGUUGAACCUAGGUGGCUGCUGGAGAGAAACACUCUGUCUUCCUGCUUUGAGGACAGCUGAAGUCUUGCCACUUCUUCUGGAUGCUCUGACCAUCAGUAAGCCACCUCAGUCUCACCCUCCGCAGAAUGCAGGCCCACUCCGUUGCUGAAGGGCCUCCUCCUUGGGCCAGGGCGCCUGCUUCUGCCAGUGGCAUCAUCACCCCACUCCUCAGCCGCCAGUCAUCAGAGACACGGUCUGACUUUGUUACCCCGGCUGGAGUGCAGUGGUGCAAUCAUGGCUCACUGCAGCCUUAACCUCCUGGGCUCAAGUGAUCCUCUCGCCAAGGCUAGGAUAAGUAGCUAGGACUACAGAUGCGCCCCAUCACGCCCAGCUAAUUUUACAACUUCUGUAGAGAUGGAGUGUUGCUGGGUUGCCCAGGCUGGUCUUGAAUUCCUGGGCUCAAGCGAUCCUCCUGUGUCCGGAAUUGGUGGGUUCUUGGUCUCACUGACUUCAAGAAUGAAGCCGCGGACCCUCGCGAGUCUGUAUCCACCAGCUACUCUUCCAGAUUCAUGAGGCAAGGCCUGCCUGCUCACCUGGCUGGCCCCAAGCACCUCUUCAACCUGUUGCCACCGUCCUGCCUUGCUGCCCUUCUCAGCUCAUCCAGCAGGGUCUCCAAGUCGUGGAAACAGAAGCACAUAUACACACAUGCUCAUAUGUACAUGCCCACAGUCACAUAAGCACACCGAGAAACACCAUCGCAGACAUGUUCUCACAAGCACAUGUGCAUAACACUCACUACCCCUCACGCGUAUACACAUUAAUACACACACUCAUGCACACUCAGUCUUACACACACAGACACACAGCCAUAAUCACUGUUGUUGGUUGAAUUGUGCCCCCCCAUCCCCACCAAAAAGAUAAGUUGGAGUCCUAACCCCCAGUACCUGGGGAUGUGACCGUAGUUGGAAAUAGGGUGUUUGUAGAUGUAAUCAAAUUAAGAUGAGAUCUUACUGGAUUAGAGUGGGCCUUAAAUCCAGUGACUGGUGUCCUUAUAAGGAGAAAAAGAUUUGAAAACAGAGACAUGGAGACACAGAGCAGAAGGCCAUGUGAUGAUGGAGUCAGAGAUUGGAGUGAUGCAGCUAUGAGCCGAGAAAUACCAAGGUGCUGGCAGCCCCCAGAAGCAAGGAGAGAGGCAAGGAACAAUCUCCAUCAGAGCCUCUGGAAGAAACAGACUCUGCCAACACCUUGAUUUCAGACUUUUGGCCUCCUUCACUGUGCGAGAAUACGUUUCUGUUGUUUUAAACUACUGAGUCACCAAGUCUGUGGUACUGUGUUAUGGCAGCCCCGGCAACAAAUCCAAUCACACACACACACACACACACACACACACACACACACACACACACACACACAGCUGGCUCCAGGCUCAGUGAUGAGCUCAGAGGAGUUCCCCUUGGGAGCUGCUCUUUCUCUGUCUUCCUUCCUUAGUGAUUGGUCCAGUGGAUCCACAAAAGCUCAUGGCCCAGAGCAGGAGCCCAGUCAUUUUUAAUUCCUCUUCCCUGGAGUUCUUAACCAUGCGUUGCCCUCAAAAUCUGCUCUCAAGAUUUGGGUUGCCAUAUUUAGGAGCACCAGAAAACAUACAGGAAUGCUGUGUCUGCUUGCAUCAUAUUAAUUAAAAACUGGAAAUAACCUAAAUGUCCCAGAAUAGGUACAUAAACUGUGGCAUAUCCACUUAAUGGAAUACUACUCAGCAAUACAAAAGGAAAACCUAGUGUUACUUGAGCAACAUGGAUGAACUUCACAGACAUAAUAUUGCACAGCACGAGGCAGACACAAAAGUGUGCAUAUGCUAUGAUUCCAUUUACAUGAGAUUCAAGAACAGGCAAAGCAGAUCUAUGGGGAUAGAAGUCAGAAUAGUGGUUACCUCUGGAAGGUGGAAUUGACUGGGAGGGGCUUCAGGGAACCUCCUGGGGUGCUGAAAACAUUCUGUGCUUGCACCGGGUGGUGGUUAUGUGGGCAUUACAUAAAAUUCACCAAGCUGCACCCUUAAUGAUUUGUACAAUUUGAUGCACAAAUCUAACAUCUCAAGAAGAAUAAAUUUUACAAAGUACCUAAGAAGCAAAAAAAAAAAAAAAAA
rnacentral:lncRNA from 1 species